UAAAAAUAACAUUAAAAAUAAAAUACCUAGGACUAAAUUUUACCAAGGAGCUGAAAGACCUUUACUCUGAAAACUAGAAAACACUGAUGAAAGAAAUUGAAGGUGACACAAACAAAUGGAAAUUCAUUCCAUGCUCAUGGACUGGGAGAACAAAAUUGCUAAAAUACCUAUUCUAUCCAAAGCAACCUUCAGAUUUAAUGCAAUCCCUAUCAAAAUACUAAAGCCAUUUUCACAGAAACAGAACAAAUAAUCCUAAA